rnacentral:lncRNA from 10 species
AAUACAGCACGCUCUUCGUAAGUAGGCUUUUCUCCAGGUGGUGUGACGCUGCUGCUAAUAAUGGUGAUGACAUCAAAACUGCCAAGGGCCUUAGAAAUCUGCUGGUCCAGCACGAAGCAGGGAGAUCACCAAAAAGGGGAGGCAGAGCUGGAAGAGAACACAGCUGUCCUGCCAUCCAGGUGCUCCAUUAUGCCUGAAAGGUUAACUUCACCACCAAAGCCCAAGAAGAGGUUUUCUUCGCCAAAGAUGGGGAAGUGCUGACAACGUUUGACAUUAAAAACAUCUAUGUUCUCCCAGACCUGUCAGGACAGACAGCCAUUGUUGGACACUUUGACUUCAGAGCACCUUCUGGAAAAGAGCUUCUGUUGGAUGACAGCGCAAUUGUCUGGGCAGAAGGACCCUUAAAGAUUAGAGCUGAGAGAACCCUAAGAACCAAGACCACACAGCACCUCUCACAUCCCAAGCUCCAGGAGAAUCGCUUGAACCCGGGAGGCGGAGGUUGCAGUGAGCCAAGAUUGUGCCACUGAACUCCAGCCUGGGUGACAGAGUGAGGUCCUGUCUCAAAAAAACAAACAAACAAAAAAUACAUAUUAUUACUACAACUUGAGUAUCCCUUAUCCGAAUUGCUUGGGACCAGAAGUGUUUUGGAUUUCAGAUUUUUUCAGAUUUUGAAAUAUUUGCAUAUGCAUAAGGAAAUAUCUUGGGGAUAGGAUCCAAGUCUAAAUAUGAAAUUCAUUUAUGUUUCAUAUACCACUUAUACACAUAGUCUGAAGGUAAUUUUUUACAAUAUUUUUAACUAUAUCAUGCAUGAAACAAAGUUUGUUUAUGUCAAGUCAGGUGUGGAAUUUUCCACUUGAGGCAUCAUGUUGGCACUCAAAAAGUUUUGGAUUUUGGAGCAUUCCAGAUUUCAGAUUUUCAAAUUAGGGAUGCCCCAUCUAUAUCUCCAUUUUAUUGAAGAGGAAUCUGAAGCUUAGAGAUGUUAAGCCCAAGGCACGCAAACCAUAAAGGGCAGAACCAGAAUUCCAACCAUCAAGAUGUCUUGUUUUCCCACCACACUCGAAAUCCGGAAGAGCUUAUUCUUACCUAUCACUGUUUCCCUAACACCCUGUACAGUACCUGAUAUACGGAACACAUUUUUAAUUAUCUGAGCAAGAAAUGGAGAAAGAGGAAAAUGAAAGAGAGUAGAAAAGGAAAACGUGAUAAAGAGGGGUUUAAUAAAGGAAGGAGUAAGAGAAAGAAAGAGAGAGAGGGACCUAGUAAGUGAAAACGAUGAGGCUUAUUCCUCCACGACCUGACUGCACAGAUGUCGCUCAAUUCCCCCUGCAGUCUCCCCAGCACUCUCUCCCCUCCACUCUCCCACCUCUUGUGUGUAGGUCCCUUCCUCUGUCUGCAACGAAAAACGUCCUGUGGAAACCAGGAAGUCAACCCUAUUUGAGAAGUCAAAAUGCUGCUACAAAAGCCUUCCCUGACCCAGAAGAGAAAUCGCAAUGUCACCAGGUAAGGAGGGAGGCUGGUUCUUGGUCAGAGGGUGGCCAGCCAUCAGCCAGAGUAGACUUCAGAUGAAAGCUGUGUCCACAUCAAGGAAAUUCCUUCAAUGGAAAAGUCCAGGGAAGUCGAGACCAAAAAGAAGAUGUCAAUGUGACCUUCCUAGAUGCUACAUUAAAGCCAUUUGAGGCUAUUAAAUUCAUUCUUUCUUUUAUCAACCAUGAGUUUGUUCAAAUCCUGUACUUAGUUUAACAUUUGCCAUAUGGUAGGCAUUUCAUAAAUGUUUAAAAAGAAUUACCCUAAUGACAUAAUCUUUAUUUUACUAAGAUGUCAUUCAUUCAACAGAUAUCAACUGGCACCAACCAUAUACAACCACUGUGCUGGGUGCAAGGGUACCAACAACAAAUAAGCCAUGGUCCUGGACCCACAGAGCUCAGGAUAUAUUAAAAGAGAAUGAUACUGGACCCCUACACCUAGCACAGCUCAUCUCUCAAUAAAGAAACUAGACUAUAAAGUGAAGUCAAUACUGUAAUAAAUAAAUAAAUAUUCAAGCAUCGAGCUGUGAAAGCACGUUGGAACAAUUAAUUCUAACAAAUAGGCAGGGAGACUUGGCAAUGCAAGGGGUGGCAUGUGACACAGGCCUUAAACAACAAGCAAGGUUUCAAAGGCAAUGAAGCAUAAUAAGGAUAUUCCAGGCCAAGGAGGAAGUUAUUAUAGUAAAGGCAUGAAAGCAAUAAGGAGCUGAGAGUGGUUUCAGCAUCAAUUGUGAUGCAAGAUAUAGGAAGCAGGUGGUCAGAUCAUAGAGGACUUUACCUGCUGGACUCUGGAGCAUGGACUCUAUUCUAUAGAAAAUGGGGAGGAGCCUCUGAACUACUUCAGUAUAAAAGCAAUGUGUAUUUCAGUGUGUGUCUUGGGGAAAUGAAUAGACAAAUAGACAAAGGAGGGAGAUUGGAGCAGGAAGACCAGGUUCAGAAUCCAGGUAAUUGUUGAAGCCACAGGUUUGGAUGAAGUCUCUUCAAAACUCUCCCUGGGAAAGUAGAGACUUUGGAAAUACCUUUUGCCCUUUUGAAGAGAAAGUUUCCACCGAAUGAAGCUGAGAAGGAACCACCAGGUGCUGAAGAGAGGAUGACACAAAUGAGAAAUCCUUGAACUUAGACACUAGGAAGACAUGGAAUCAAAGUAUCUAGGACCCUACAAAUAUAUCCAAAUCAAGGAAAGAGAUCAAAUUGUCCCUAUUUGCAGACGACAU